AGGCAAUAGGCAACCAGUUUCAGGCAGGAAGAAAAGCCAUUCACAUUUCAAUGUACACCUGUUUUUCGUGUGGACAAAAAGCAGUGUUCAUAAGUCGUGUGCUACCAAGUGGUCAGCAAGCAUGUUGGUUGCCUCCAAGGUCAAGUUCGAGCUACGGAUAAAGUCGACCAUUGGGCAAUUUUCCUGGUAGCCUUCCUUGAAUGCUAUUAGGUUUAUUAAACCAUGUAACAUUGACUAGUGGUUGACAAAAAAUGGUCGUCACUCGAACUUGCCAAUAAUGUUGCCUGUAAAAGUUGCAUCAUGUGACAAGGCUCUAACAUUCAUUCCACAAGCUUGAACCUUUUUUAUUUGUAUUUCCACAGUCUACCAAGAACCACUGUUCCCGAAGCGGAUGCUAUGGAAGGUGAUUUUGCAUUGCUGACAAGUCUGGGCUCACCGUAGAUGAUGAGAGUUUGCUGUCGUGUGCAGUGUUGACUAUAGCUGGAUCUGUUGCGAUGUGCAUCGGUGAAGAAAAACCUCAGACAUUCAACAACAGACAGCAAGUUUGAGACACUUUGAUGUUGAGGCUAAACAACGCUUUUUGGGACUGUGUCAACUCCAACCAAGAUACUCCACAAGGUCAACCUUCCAAGUGAGCUCAACUGGACCAUGAUGGCGCUCUACUGACUGCGUGAUGACACUCAUUGAGAAGACUAUCUAGGGGCCUUUUUCAAACCUCGGCUUGGGCUCCGGCUCUGGCUUCAGGCUCCGUUUGAUGUUCGAACCACAGUGCUCCAAAAACCCUAAAACAAAGCCAAUGGCAAGCCGGAGUCAGAGCCCGAGACAAGGUUUGGAAAAGGCCCUUAUUGUAAUGCUAAAACUAUAGUCCGAGUAGUUCAAUGAUUCCGUCAAAAUCCAAAGCCAUAUUGCAACUCGGAAUUCACUGCAUUAAAUGCAUCAGAAGUUGGCUGCAUGUGUAAAAACCUGGUUUUAUGAUGACAAUCUUGGCUGGCUUAAGCAUCAAAUUCUCCGUUGCAGUAUAUCGGUUUCUUUAGAUUUUGACGGAUUCAGUGUAGUUUUAAGAAUACAACUUAAGAGUUGGUACUUCAAGAUAGUCCCCCUGAUUCAAUCAAAAUCCAAAACCAAUUGCAACUCUAACAUUUCACAUCAGUUGGCUGCAAGAAAUGCGUACACCUGGUUUAUGAAGCCAAGCGGUGCUUGUUUUGGAAAUCAAUCAAUCAAUUCCCCACAUUCAAUUGCAAUAUACAUUUGGAUUUUGAUCAGUGAAGUUAAGAAAUUAAAAUAACUUUAAAGAUGAUACAGCUUUCCUAAAUACAAUGUAAAGAUCGGUGGAUGUUUUGUUUGAAAGCAUAAAAUAGACAGAAUGCAUGUUUGUUUGUUUUUUAAUAAAUGUUAUGCUUGAGUAGAAUCCGCAAUGCGAACCCUCACCCACAGCCACAUCACCAUAAUCUUUACACUAAUCCCAACUCAUUAAUCCUAACCCAAUUUACUUCACUUAUCAUAACUAAUUAAUCCUAACCAACUAACCACGCUCACCUUACCUUAUGCACUGACGUCAUAUUAGAAGUAAAACGGUCAUGACACUGUUGGUAAUGCUCCCAUUGUUCACUCUCGGCCAAUGAGCUGCAACUUUUAGCUGAGGGCGCCCUACUGGUAACAUGACGUCAUGCGCAUAAGAUCUAUUACACACCAACCCUUAACACAUUCACAGUUCAACCUGCGCGAUGUAUAAUAAAAUCAAUUACAUAUUUUUUUCUUAAACUUGCAUUUUGUCUGUAUAACUUAAUAUGCCAAAAGCAUUUCUUGAAUUUUUGCCACAUGGCAGCAGUAUCAUGUUCAUUGUGCGCGGUUUGCCAUUAAGACUCUAAUAGUUUUUGAAAUGUAACAUGAAUUAUUUUUUGUUUUAAAUAAGUUAAUGUAUAGUUUAAAUAAAUUGAUGAAUUAAAUCAUGAAAAUGUAAAAUGAUGUCACUGUUUAUACAUUUGUGUAAGAUACCCCCUAGCUCAGUCUUCACUAUAGGCUAAGGCGUAAGAUACCCCCAGCUCAGUCUUCACUAUAGGCCAAGGUCCCCGGUUUGCCAUUCUGGGAGUCGAAUUACAUGUUAAGAAUGGCGAGCGUGUAAAUGUGUCGCAUAAAAUGGCACACUCCACAUUAUCAUACAUGGUGAUACCGACUCCCAAAAUGGCACAACCAAGAUAAAUUCAAUGAUCGCUGAGAUCAAGUUAUCUAUUACUUUACUUUGCACUUUAAAGACAAAAUCUUUAUAUCACUUUUCUCUCAAUUUUUAUCCCAGGCCUCGGUUUGAAAAACCGAAGAUGAACCCGUGAAGAGUACACUUCUACUGCAUUUGGAAGUAAAGCGUGUGUAUGUCUAAAUGGUUAAAUUUGACAGUAAAUAUAAUGUUUACUUACUCAGUGAACUUAUUUUGUAUUGAUGCGUUUAUUAAUUCAGUGUUAAGAAAGUACAGAGAAAAUUGGUGGAGAAUAAUAAAGCUUAA